CGGAGGGUGCGAGCGUUGUUCGGAACUUAUUGGGCGUAAAGCGCGUGUAGGCGGCUCCUUAAGUCUGAAUGUGAAAGCCCCGGGCUCAACCUGGGAAGUGCAUUGGAAACUGGGGAACUUGAAUACGGGAGACGGGUAGUGGAAUUCCUGGUGUAGGAGUGAAAUCCGUAGAUAUCAGGAGGAACACCGGUGGCGAAGGCGGCUACCUGGACCGAUAUUGACGCUGAGACGCGAAAGCGUGGGGAGCAAACCAGGAUUAGAUACCCUGGUAGUCCACGCCGUAAACGAUGAGUACUAGGUGUUGCGGGUAUUGACCCCUGCAGUGCCGCAGCUAACGCAUUAAGUGCUCCGCCUGGGAAGUACGGUCGCAACGACUA
rnacentral:rRNA from 1 species